rnacentral:rRNA from 1 species
UACAUGGGGUGCAAACGUUGCUCGGAAUUAUUGGGCGUAAAGCGCACGUAGGCGGUUCGUUAAGUCGGAUGUGAAAGCCCUCGGCUCAACUGAGGAAGUGCACCCGAAACUGGCGAGCUUGAGUACGAAAGAGGAUCGCGGAAUUCCCGGUGUAGAGGUGAAAUUCGUAGAUAUCGGGAGGAACACCGGUGGCGAAGGCGGCGAUCUGGGUCGAUACUGACGCUGAGGCACGAAGGCCAGGGGAGCAAACGGG